rnacentral:rRNA from 1 species
CCUACGGGUGGCAGCAGUGAGGAAUAUUGGUCAAUGGGCGCGAGCCUGAACCAGCCAAGUAGCGUGAAGGAUGACUGCCCUAUGGGUUGUAAACUGCUUUUAUAAAAGAAUAAAAUGAGGCACGUGUGCCUUUUUGUAUGUACUUCAUGAAUAAGGACCGGCUAACUCCGUGCCAGCAGCCGCGGUAAUACGGAGGGUCCGAGCGUUAUCCGGAUUUAUUGGGUUUAAAGGGAGCGUAGAUGGGUUGUUAAGUGUGUUGUGAAAGGUUGCGGCUCAACCAUGGGAGUGCGGCGCGAACUGGAGAGCUUGAGUGCGCGGAAGGCAGGCGGAAUUCGUGGUGUAGCGGUGAAAUGCAUAGAUAUCGCGAAGAACCCCGAUUGCGAAGGCAGCCUGCCGCAGCCAUACUGACGCUGAAGCACGAAAGCGCGGGUAUCGAACAGGAUUAGAUACCCUGGUAGUC